UAAAAAAGUACCAGUGACUGGGUGGCUUAAACAACAGAAGUUUAUUUCAUCACAGUUCUACAGGUGGGGUGCCAACAUGAGGGCAACAGCAGGGCUGGUAUCUGAUGAGGACAUCCCCCCUGGGAUUGCACACAGCCGCCUUGGUGCAUGUGCGUGUGGAGUGCAUGCUCCCUGGUGUCUCUCAUAAGGACAUUAGUCCUCUUGGAUUAGGGACCCACCCUUAUGACCUGACUUUGGCUUAGCCUUGAUCACUUCCUUAGAGGCCUUAUUUCCAAAUACAGCCACACUGGGGAUUAGGGCUUCAACAUAGGAAUUUGGGGAGGACAAAAACAUUCAGCCCAUAACCGUGUAGGUUGGAUGUAACAGCAUUAAAUAUUUACAAAGAAAUUUCUCAGUUCAAAAGAUUAAAGUAGACAGCCUCUUCUUUCAUUUGCUCAUUCAACAAAUAUGGAGCAUCUAUUGUGUGUUGACUUUUUGGUUAUAAAAAUUAUUGAGAAAUACUUGAUCCCUUCAAGGAGUACAGAAUGGUACGGCUUUUUAUGCAGCUGAUCUGUACAUCCUAUGGCAUUGUGGUAAAUGUGAUGAUAAUGUUUUUCUUGGUGAGUUAUGGGGAUGAGAGGUCCAGGAAGGAGGGCAAAGAUUGGCAAGCAGAAGUCUAGAGUUUCAGCUGCUUCUCAGAAAUGUCAGCUCCAGCCUUUGCCCAAGUGACAAGCAUCAUUAUCCCUAAUUCUUCGUACCUCAUUCAGUCCUUCAACUUUAGCUCCAAAAUGCACUGACGUCCCAACCACCUGAUGUGAUAGGUCAAAGACGGACACACAAGCCAUGGUACAACCUUAACUAUUUUAUUUUAACUGAAUGCACAUAUGUUCAUUUGCCAGUGUCCUAAUUGGGGUUCAAGGCCCGUCUUUGGUAGGGCUUCACUAAUGAGUUUCUGGUUGUCUCUCUUGCUAGGCCACACCCCUAACAUAGAUCCCGAUCCUGGCUUUGGUUCCUCUAGAGUGAAGACAUGCAUGACGGAAUGGUACAUGGUCUAAAACCUAUUAAGGAUGCAUGUUGGCAGUACUAAAAUGAAGACAGGAAUCCAUGACUCUGUGCUAUGGUGACGAGCAUCAUGGAAAUACACCUGAUGGGCUCAGGUGUCUCAUCCAGUUAAUUUGUUUUCACUCUGAAAUUCCUCAAACUGUCUGUCUCCUCCAAAAGGAAGAUAAUGCCAUCUAAACUACAGCGUUGUGACCUAAAUGGAGUGUUAAUAAGCCCAAUCUAUCACCUAGGCACUAAAUGAGCAGAAUCUGAUAUCAACCUCCUGCACUGAAUGCUAUCAUCAUUGGCCGUUCAGGAGUCCAUCUGUAAGCCUGAAAUACAGUGGAAAUUUUUUUUAAACUGACGUAGACUAAAUGUCAUUCAUUAACUAAUCAGGUUAUUCCAUCACCUAUAUUUUAAUUACCCUAUGUUUUAAAUUUUGAAGGCUUAAAUAGCUUUAUCCAGUUUAUAAGUAUUUUUUGUUCUAACCAUAUUUCCAAGUGACACAUUCACUAAAUGGUAGUUUGUCAAACUAAACUUAAAAUGCCUUUUUAAUCUGUAAGAUAGUAGAAAUUUGUAUAAUUUUGCCAAGAGACAAAGUGGUUUUGAACUGACAAUUAAACAAGAAUAAUAUAACAUUUAUCUGACACAUGGGACUUGAGGAAGCAGCUUAAUAAGAGAUGAGAGGUAAGUGGAGACUUAUGUAAAGAAUCUCAUGAGAGAUUGCAAAGUGAGGCGGGCCAAACAACGAGAUGAAAACAGGUUUGAAGUUGGCUAAGAAGGGACAACUGACCACCUCAACUAAACAGGCCAACCAACAGUGCAAAAGAUUUUCCCCACUAGAAUACAAGUGAGCAAGGAGAUAGCCACCCACACGCUCCCUGGUUCCUCCUGGAGGCCUUCCCGUUGUGGCGGUUCAUACGGCACACACAGGCAAUACAUGCACCAGGUCACAAGAGCAAAGAAGACUUUGGCCCCCUCCCUGCCCCUGUGCUGUUAGACUGGUGUGGGGCCAUGUCAGCCCUAAAGACCUACCUACUGCCAUGUAAGGAAAUUCCUCACUGAGCCACAACUGCCUGACAAUUCCAUUUUUCUAAGUGUCUUCAUUUGUACAGUGGGUCAACUCAUGGCUUGCCACACGGGUUAUAAGAAGAUGGCUGGCACUACAUUUUUUUUUUGUUUGGCAUCAGUCUAACAAUCACCAGCUCUAAUUUUAUGCUUAUUAAUCAAAAG